rnacentral:piRNA from 1 species
UGACUAGAUUGUUGGAUCAGCAGCGGCAC